rnacentral:tRNA from 1 species
GGACGGGUGGCCGAGUGGUUAAAGGCGGCAGACUGUAAAUCUGUUGGGCUUCGCCCUACAUAGGUUCGAAUCCUAUCCCGUCCACCA